GGGCGGGGCGCGGCGCGCGAGCUGCUGACGCACGCGGCCGGCGGAAGGGGCGGGGAGGCGGACCGCGAGAGCCGGGACCGCGCAUCCUGGACCCCGAGCCCCGAGACGUGGACCCGGACCACGAGCCCCGAGGCCCGGGACCAGACCGCGAGAGCCGGGAACGCGGACCCCGGACCACGAGCCCCGAGAGCCGGGACUGCAGACCCCGGACCACGAGCCCCGAGACCUGGGACCGGACCGCGAGAGCCGGGACCGCGGACCCCGCACCCCAAGACCUGAGACCCGGGACCGCGGAUCCCGGACCCCGAACCCCGAGACCCGGGCCGCGGGCACAGCCCGGGAGGAGAGGCCGCGCGGCCCGCCCGGGGUGGCGGCGCCCCGGAGGUCUCGGCGCGGCUGCCGCAUCCCAUCCCGGGGUCCCAGCCCGGACGAGGCUCCGUCCUGGUCCCCCGGGGCCGGCCACCUGGAGGAGGCCUCAUCCCCGGGAGCCGGUCACCUGAGGAGGACCCGUCCUCAUCCCUGGGGUCCCAUCGCCCGAGGAGGCCCAGGAGGCGGGUCACGGCGGGCGGCCGCAGGGGCACGGGUGGGCAGGCCGCCGGAGCUCGGCGGUCGGGCGCCCCUCCCGGUGGAGCAGGGACCGUGGCCGCGCGGUGUCCCGGCGCAGGUGCCGAGCCGCGGAGACGCCCCUGCUCGCUCCACCUUGGCCGUGACGGCGUCCUCGGUUCAUUUAGGAAAAAGACCCCCAGACUUGCAGGUGUCCACGGAGGGGUCCCAGCUCCCAGGACGUCGGAAAGGUGGGACUGCCCCCCGCCCCGGGCCCGGGCUCCCCUCCGGGAAACGGGGCGGUGCGAGCGGCCUCCCCCGAGCGCCCGUGGGGAGCAGGGCUGCGGACGGACGGCGGCCCCGACUCUGAACCCGCUCGGCGUGGGGUCCCUGCAGGAGGCUGAGACCGCGGGCCUGUCGGGGCGCGUGGGAGGCCCGCCGUCUGCGGCUCCCCGCGCCUUCCCGGGGCUGAGCAGCCCGAGGGGGGCCCUUCAACCUGAGCAGCAUCUUCGGGGAGGAGGCUGUCAAGACUUCUGUCCCAGAGCUCUGCAGUAACUGCCGUUAACGUGAGGGUAAUACUGUAAAGAUAUGCUUCAGUAAGACGUCUCUAAAAACAUUAAUGUCUUGCAGAAUGAAGCAUUUAGAAACUCUGAAUUCUUAAAAGUUUGAAAGUCGAGUUUGUACUCCCCUCCAACCCACCCAUCUGUUCUUCUUCUGGAGAAACCCCCGGAGAGGAGCAGCCCAGACGGCAGGGGCGGAGUAGAGGAGUCUGACCCGCCUAGGCGGCAAGAAGCCCCCAGCUCUCUCCCUGAAAACACCAGUUGAAUUUUUCAGUUUCUUUUCUUAUAGCUUCACGUCAGAUACAAGCCACUGUGACACAUGCAUGAGUAAAAUGCUCUUGGUAUUUUGAUAAAUAUGUUUAAUUUUUAAAAGACAGACUGGCGAGUUAAGCCACUUACCCAUGCACAAAAUUCGUGAAGCCAGAAUUAUAUGUUAUCUAGAAAUGCAAUUAGCCAUUUAAAGCCAUGUGUAAAUACUGACACCCCAGAAAUGUUUAAAUUUCCUUCUGUCACCCCCUGCAGGUUCACAAGAUGAAGAGUAGUAGUUUCAAUCGCUCACUGUAUUUUAAUUUAUAGCGUUGCAUUCCACAUAUUUAUCUUCACUGUGUACUAUUUCUUUUUUUUCCUAAAGAUCGGCACCUGAGCUAACCACUAUUGCCAAUCUUUUUUUUUUCUGCUUUUUCUCCCCAAAUCCCCCCAGUACAUAGUUGUAUAUUUUUUUCAAUUGUGGGUCCUUCUAGUUGUGGCUUGUGGGACGCCACCUCAGCAUGGCCUGAGGAGCAGUGCCAUGUCCGCGCCCAAGAUCCAAACCGGCGAAAGCUUGGGCCGCCAAAGCGGAGCUCGAGAACUUCACCACUUGGCCACGGGUGAUGAGAGCUGGCUCCGCCCCGUGAUUAGUGGCGCAUACUGGAGAACAGAGGCUGCCAGAAGCUGGAAUCCGCGACCCUGGAAGGGAGCAGGUUAAUCCCCGCUUGGCGUCUGAGCCUGUACUGUUUACCUCGCACUCGACUCUAAUCUGUGAGUUGAUUGUCAGCUUCAGUUUCCUGGGAGAGCACACAGCCUUAACCUGAAGUGGACCCUAACCAUGGAGAAGUCCUGCGGAAGCCAAUGGGAUGGCACAGUCAUCUCAACCCUGAGAGAAAAACGGUCCUUCCAGCCAGGGGAGGCAGGAGGAUGCGACCCUCUCUGAAGAACGUGGAGGGAAUCCGUGUUUAUUGUUUCUCUCCUCAUUUUGCCUGAGGGCAGUUCCUUUUGGCAAAAUCAUGGGGCAUGUCGGCGGGUAACAACCAGAGAGAAACCGAGACUUUCUAACCAAAGCACCAGGAAAAGAGACCCCAGGGGGCCAGAGAGCCCGGGAGUCAUCCUGGAGAGGAGAGGCCUGGAAAGCAGCUCACCAUUCUGUGUACGAGCAGACACACGUGCCCAGCGCUGCAUGUGCAAGGCAGAGCAGAAGCACGUUCGAAAUGAAUCGACACUGGAACUGCCACCAACAGAGAAAGACGGGGCUGCUGUCAGAGGAUAACCAGCGCAAGUCUGCUGAAGCACAACUAAACAUGCCCCAGAGAAUUCUUUAGAAUUUUAGCACACAGGGUCUCCCAGCAUAAACAGACAGUCCUUGCUUUGCACAGCAGGACAGACCGUAAAAAUGGCCGUGCCAGCUGAAACUGUGCCCUGCAGCCAUAAUAACCACUGGGUAAAGUUAGGAUUUUCUGUGACUUUUAGAAAUUUUCAUCAAAACAUCAAAAACUCAUAUUGUCGGUUAUAAAUGUGUGAGGAAAUGAGCAAAAUAGUAAAAUUAAUAUUUAUUUUGUACAUUGCAAUCAAAAACAUUAGUAACACAAGAUUAAACUGUUUUCAGUCUUCGUGAAAAACUCACCGAGUCAUGUGAACGGCACCUGCCUUCGUAAGUGGUAUAACUUACUUCACAACUCAUCGUACUCCUUUCUAAGUUUGCAUCAGCUUCCAACGUUUUCUCCUUUGUGCUUCUAAUGUCAUGAAAUAUCUCCAGGUUCCUUUAAUGGGAGUUUUUUUGCCGGUGUCCCUUCCUCUGGGACAUCUUCGUCCUUUUUGUCACAACCACUUUGCUCACUUGUUUGAUAAAUUCACUUCACUCGGUUCCUUUGACAGCACGUCUCGACUGUCUGGCUCGUGCAGUUGCUCUGUCUUUGAUGACCCCAUUUAUGUUUGCUUUGAAUUUCACUCUCAUUGUUUCCAGCUUCCAUUUCUUCGCUGCACUUUCAUCCUUGUUGGCCAAUGCCCUCUUUGGAUGACCACUUUUGUAAACUGUCAUGUGGGUUUAUCACUGGAGACAAGGAGGCAACGCAACCACAUGCUUUGCUGUCUGUGCACAUGAGCUAAGAGGCGUGCAGUGCCCAGUCACCGACAGACUCUGCAAGAAGUGCUGUCAUCAGUCACCGAGCACGAUGCCAUCUGCUGUUCACGUGUGAUGGGUGGAGUGGGGCCACCCACACAGUUUCAGCGAGACAGAACUUCAUGCAAUUACUCACAGUUACUACACUGAGUUUAAAGACAGACAGAAUGAUGCAGCCUGUCAGUAAUCCAACACAGGAAAGCGGGUCUGCAGCCUUCGCGGGGUAGGUGCGGGCAACCUGACGUCAGUGAUCCAGCAGAGAAAGCGAGUCUGCGGCCGUCGGGGAAGCUGGAGAGAUGAGAGAAGUCCUAGUGCUGACCACAGGGUCACUCCACUCCCGCCAUCUCUUGGGAAGCUCUUGAUUUCCUUAUUGUGGUGACACAGCAGAAGAGCGGGCUGAUUCAGUCCCCAGAAGUGGUGUGUACCUUCCAGAAGGCUGUAUGCAUUUGGCCUCUGUUUCCACCCCUGAGCUCCACGCUGGUCUCCAUUUCAGGGACUCAGUGACAACUCACUCAGUCCUGGCCCCCAAGUGGAACAGAGACAGCGUGUGCCACAUUAAUUGGUGCCACAUCUCAUGGGCAGGCUGGCGUGGACUGAGCCUGGGGAACACGUGGCUGCCACACUUCUUCCUGUCCCUGCACACAGCACCUGCUGGAGGAGGGCCUGCCUGAUUGGGCCUGAGGGCUGGCUCAUGAACUCCGGGCACUGCAGCUUCACUUGUAACAGCCAGCGUCUGGAACCAGCCAAAUGUCCAUCCACAGAAGAAUGGAUAAGCAGGUUGUGGUCUGCCCAUAUCAUGGAAUUCAACUCAACAAUAAAAACAGAUGAACUGUUUAUUCACAAAACAGCAUUGUUGACCCUCAAAAGAAUUAUGCUGAGUGAAAGAAGCCAGACGAAAAAUAAUUUUUACUGUAUGAUGGAUUCCCUGUGUAGAAAACUCUGGAAAAUGCAAAUAUAACUGAUACUCGG
rnacentral:lncRNA from 1 species